rnacentral:rRNA from 1 species
CACGUAGGGUGCAAGCGUUAUCCGGAAUGAUUGGGCGUAAAGCGUCCGCAGGUGGCAAUGUAAGUCUGCUGUCAAAGCGUCUGGCUCAACCAGAUAAAGGCAGUGGAAACUACAUAGCUAGAGUAAGGUAGGGGUAGAGGGAAUUCCUGGUGUAGCGGUGAAAUGCGUAGAGAUCAGGAAGAACACCGGUGGCGAAAGCGCUCUGCUGGACCUUAACUGACACUGAGGGACGAAAGCUAGGGGAGCGAAUGGG